GACGAACGCUGGCGGCGUGCUUAACACAUGCAAGUCGAACGAAGAGCGAUGGAAGCUUGCUUCUAUCAAUCUUAGUGGCGAACGGGUGAGUAACGCGUAAUCAACCUGCCCUUCAGAGGGGGACAACAGUUGGAAACGACUGCUAAUACCGCAUACGAUCUAACCUCGGCAUCGAGGAUAGAUGAAAGGUGGCCUCUACAUGUAAGCUAUCACUGAAGGAGGGGAUUGCGUCUGAUUAGCUAGUUGGAGGGGUAACGGCCCACCAAGGCGAUGAUCAGUAGCCGGUCUGAGAGGAUGAACGGCCACAUUGGGACUGAGACACGGCCCAGACUCCUACGGGAGGCAGCAGUGGGGAAUCUUCCGCAAUGGACGAAAGUCUGACGGAGCAACGCCGCGUGAGUGAUGACGGCCUUCGGGUUGUAAGCUCUGUUAAUCGGGACGAAAGGCCUUCUUGCGAAUAGUUAGAAGGAUUGACGGUACCGGAAUAGAAAGCCACGGCUAACUACGUG
rnacentral:rRNA from 1 species